UACGGAGGUGGCCAGCGUUGUUCGGAAUUACUGGGCGUAAAGGGCGCGUAGGCGGCAAGGCAAGUCAGGUGUGAAAGCCCCGAGCUUAACUCGGGAAUUGCAUCUGAAACUGCUGUGCUUGAGUUCUGGAGGGGGUAGUGGAAUUCCCAGUGUAGCGGUGAAAUGCGUAGAUAUUGGGAGGAACACCAGUGGCGAAGGCGGCUCUCUGGACAGGUACUGACGCUGAGACGCGAAAGCGUGGGUAGCAAACAGG
rnacentral:rRNA from 1 species